GAUGAAGAACGUAGCGAAAUGCGAUAAGUAAUGUGAAUUGCAGAAUUCCGUGAAUCAUCGAAUCUUUGAACGCACAUUGCGCCCUCUGGUAUUCCGGGGGGCAUGCCUGUCCGAGCGUCAUUUGCAACCCUCAAGCCCGGCUUGUGUGAUGGGUGCCGUCCCCUACGGGACGCGCCCCGAAGGCAAUGGCGGCGUCGCGGUUAUCCGAUCAGCCAAAGUGUAUGGGGCUUUGUCACUCACUUUACGGCCCGGACCGGCGCCAGUCCGAAUCAAUCUUUUUUCUAAAGUUGACCUCGGAUCAGGUAGGGAUACCCGCUGAACUUAAGCAUAUCAAUAAGCGGAUGA
rnacentral:misc_RNA from 1 species